GGCUCAGGAUGAACGCUAGCGACAGGCUUAACACAUGCAAGUCGAGGGGCAGCAUGAUUUGUAGCAAUACAGAUUGAUGGCGACCGGCGCGACGGUGAGUAACGCGUAUGCAACUUACCUAUCAGAGGGGGAUAGCCCGGCGAAAGUCGGAUUAAUACCCCAUAAAACAGGGGUCCCGCAUGGGAAUAUUUGUUAAAGAUUCAUCGCUGAUAGAUAGGCAUGCGUUCCAUUAGGCAGUUGGCGGGGUAACGGCCCACCAAACCGACGAUGGAUAGGGGUUCUGAGAGGAAGGUCCCCCACAUUGGUACUGAGACACGGACCAAACUCCUACGGGAGGCAGCAGUGAGGAAUAUUGGUCAAUGGCCGAGAGGCUGAACCAGCCAAGUCGCGUGAAGGAAGAAGGAUCUAUGGUUUGUAAACUUCUUUUAUAGGGGAAUAAAGUGGAGGACGUGUCCUUUUUUGUAUGUACCCUAUGAAUAAGCAUCGGCUAACUCCGUG
rnacentral:rRNA from 1 species